GACAGGCUAGGGUACGACAUGCUUUUUAGCCUAAUUUCAGUACAAGUAACUGUUGACCUGCUCCUUUAUACUAACUUAAACCCAUUUUCAUCGAUCCAAACUCAAUUCAAACCGCCCAUUUAACCUCCAUAAUUGGACCAUUGAGAGAAUUUGUAUAGAUUCUUUUGUCCUUGACCCCAUGGAAAUAUAGUACAAAUUGAUUGGCAAAUUUUAGUGCUUUUCUUGUCCUUGUUGAAAUUCUGUCUCCUCCAAAAUGCCAUAAAGUAGGCUGUCUUCAUGUUCUUCAGAUCCUACGAACAUAUUCCCCUAAUGACAAAGUGGAAAAUAUAUGCAUGCAUUCGAUAGUCAAAUAAUUAGACUAGUAAUCUAUCUCACCAUUUAUUUUUACUUGUCUAGUAUAUUAAAAAAAUGUCCAAUAAUAUUUAUUCAGUUUGAAAAAUUAAUAUAUAAUUUAUCAUUUUGUGUUCAUAUUAUUUUUGUUAUUAAAUACUACUCAUUAUCCAAUACAUCCUCAAAGCAUUAAAUUCAUUAUAUUUAAAGAAUGAUAUAAAAAAAUUUUCUUUAUUAUUUAUUAUUUUUAAGGUGUGUGUCAAAUCAAUAAAAAAUGUAUGGAGAGAGUACUAUGUGAAGAAAAAGAACCAUGAGGAAAAAUGAGAGAAGAAAUAGAAUAAAAGAAUCAGAUUUGCAUUCUCACAUUGGUUAUAUAUAAAUACAUAGUAGUGCAAUGGUAAUAUAGUUUCAUAUCUCAAAAUGAAAAUAAUAUUAUAUAGCAUGAAGAAAUAAGAAAAGAAGAGAGGUCUUACACGAAGGUAAGUGCCUAUUUG
rnacentral:lncRNA from 1 species